CAGCAGCCGCGGUAAUACGUAGGGUGCAAGCGUUGUCCGGAAUUAUUGGGCGUAAAGAGCGUGUAGGCGGCUCGACAAGUCCGCUGUGAAAGUCCAGGGCUCAACCCUGGAAUGCCGGUGGAUACUGUCGAGCUAGAGUCCGGAAGGGGCGAGUGGAACUCCUGGUGUAGCGGUGAAAUGCGCAGAUAUCAGGAAGAACACCAAUGGCGAAGGCAGCUCGCUGGGACGUGACUGACGCUGAGACGCGAAAGCGUGGGGAGCGAACAGGAUUAGAUACCCGGGUAGUCCCUGUCUCUUAACA
rnacentral:rRNA from 1 species